rnacentral:tRNA from 1 species
GGGGGCGCGAUUGGUGUCGCCAAUGGGUAAAUCCUGCAAGGGAACUCAUUGGGAGAAGGUUCGAUUCCUUCCGCCUCCA